rnacentral:rRNA from 1 species
UUCCGGUUGAUCCUGCCGGAGGUCACUGCUAUUGGGAUUCGACUAAGCCACGCGAGUUGAGAGGGUUCGGCCCUCGGCAAACUGCUCAGUAACACGUGGAUAAUCUGCCCUUAGGUGGAGGAUAACCUUGGGAAACUGAGAAUAAUACUCCAUAGAUCUACGAUGUUGGAAUACACAUAGAUUAAAAGUUCCGACGCCUAAGGAUGAGUCUGCGGACUAUCAGGUUGUAGUCAGGGUAAGGACCUGACUAGCCUACAACGGAUACGGGUUGUGAGAGCAAUAACCCGGAGACGAUAUCUGAGACACGAUAUCGGGCCCUACGGGGCGCAGCAGGCGCGAAACCUUCACAAUGCGCGAAAGCGCGAUGAGGGGAUCCCAAGUGCUUGCACUUAAGUGUAAGCUGUUUCUUUGUAUAAAAUGCAGAGAGAGUAAGGGCUGGGUAAGACGGGUGCCAACCGCCGCGGUAAUACCUGCAGCUCAAGUGGUGACCGCUAUUAUUGGGCCUAAAACGUCCGUAGCCUGCUGAGUAAAUGCUUGGGUAAAUCGUGCCGCUUAACGGUACGAAUUCCGGGUAGACUACUCAGCUUGAGACCGGGAGAAGCUAGAGGUACUCCUGGGGUAGAGGUGAAAUUCUGUAAUCCUGGGGGGACCACCAGUGGCGAAGGCGUCUAGCUAGAACGGGUCUGACGGUGAGGGACGAAACCCUGGGGCGCGAACCGGAUUAGAUACCCGGGUAGUCCAGGGCGCAAACGCUGCUUGCUUGAUGUUAGCUGGGCUCCGAGCUCAGCUAGUGUCGGAGAGAAGUUGUUAAGCAAGCUGCCUGGGAAGUACGAUCGCAAGAUUGAAACUUAAAGGAAUUGGCGGGGGAGCACAGCAACGGGUGGAGCGUGCGGUUUAAUUGGAUUCAACGCCGGGA